rnacentral:lncRNA from 1 species
GAGACUCUAACUGUCCUACUAUUGGAAAACAAAAAAACACAAAACUAUAUAUAUAUAUCAACCCCAUACAUAUAGAUAAAUGGCUGAAAACACAGGACAAAACUUUGCACUAAACUUUUCUCUGUUGUGUUUACUAAUUUCGUUCAAAUUCAAAUCACACAACAAAAACUAGUUAAUAAUAAUUAACAGACAACGCCAGCAACCUAACAACAAAACUAACAGCACACUAAACAGAAGCUAAUAAUUGAAACGGAAUAAGAAGAGCUUAAAGCUCUAUUAAAAUCCUGUGCAAAAAAAUUCAAGCGGCCUCAGAUGGUCUCCUAAAUUCAUUGCUAACAACCAAAUAUAAUAAUAAAAUUUAAAAAAAUAAGGUCAAAAAUGGACCAACAGGACCUCUUGCAUUCAAAUUUUUGAACCAAAAGUCAAAUAAUGUCAACAAAAAACUGAUAUUUUCGAUUUCCAAUUUCAUAUCCUUUCAAGAAAAUAUCAAAAAACUAAAUUUUUAACAUUCCCCAAAACUGAAAAUCCAAUCUUUGGGAGAAAUCCAUGAGAGCAUGCAGUUGUAUCAGUCAAAAUAUAUUCCUUACCUCAACUAAUUGAAUUAACCAGCGGAGCUAAUUAUUAUGUAAUUACACAUCUAGAGCUAUCAGCUAUAGCGAAUCUUUAACAAACACAGAGCAAGAAGAAGCCACAAUUGCACUUAAUUGUACUUAAUUUGCUUAAAGCAAAACCACAAAGCAAAUUCCAAUAAACUAAAUUAUUUAGGCAGGAUUAAUAUGCACAUCUCUACCAGUAAAUAGUUCCCCUAAAUUGAUUUUUACUCAACAUUUCACAGUAUUAAUGUAAAUAUAGAAAACAUAACAACCAUCCUUAAUAAAAAACAGAGCAUAACUCCAAUGUCAUGUAUGUCACGAUGCAGAAUUUGCCCAACUGAAUGUGUUUCUAGUUGAUUACAUAACAAAACUAAAUAAAACUAUGAACUAUAUGAAGAUAAAAUACACAC